GCGGCGGCGCGGGGCUGGGCGCUGUCCCCGCUGUCGCCGGGCCCGGCGGAGCGCAGCCGGCCCUACGCUGUGCUGCAGCACCAGAACCUGGUGCUGCUGGGCAGCAUCCUCAGCGCUCUCCUGCUCACCAUCAUCCUCAUGGCCAUCUGUGUCUACCGGCCCGUCCGGCGGCGGUAGCGGAGCGGGAUCCGCCGGGGCACCGAGAGAAUGCUGCAUCCCACCUGGUUCUCCCCCCUGGCAUCCACCAUCCCAGCACCGCUUCAGUCCUGCCGGUUCUCCCGUCUGGUACCCGGUACCAUCCCGGUUCCAUCCCGGCGCUGCUCCGGACCCAGCAGGUUCUCCCGUCCGGUCCCCACCGUCCUGCCGCCCCUCCCGUCAGCUGCUGGGGAUGCCCUGAGGAUGCGAGUGUGGCUUUUCACCCAUCUCUGCCCGUGCUCUAUCACAUGGCUCCAUCGUGAUGUGGCUUCCAGCAGUGGUCAGGCCGGGUGCUGGAAACCACCCCCUCCCUGAGCAAACACUCCUGGAGCUCCUGGGGGUGUGUCCGCAGCGAACCCAUCUGGCUCGGAGCGGGUCUGGAGCAACGCGCCUGCCUCCCAAAUCCCAGCGUUUUGGCGAGGCUGGUCUCACACGGUGUGCUCGACAGCAUCCCCGGGGCCUGGGUUGUCACCAGAACAGGGCGAGAUUGGGGACAUGGCCCGAGGAGCAGCUCCACGUGCUCGCUCACACCACGUCUACUUUUUGCUUUCUGAUUAAUUCAGGUCCUUGUUUGAACGCUGAGUCCUGGGGGUGGGACGGGGCUUGGAGCAACCUGGGGUAGUGGAGGGUGUCCCUGUCAUGGCAGGGAGUAGAACAGGAUGAGCUUUAAGGUCCCAUUCAAAAAUAUUCCAAAGGUAAGAGCUCAGUGACCCACUCAGCAGUGGGUGGUGGGGUCUGGUCCGUUCUUGCUUCUGAGCAGAAACACUGAUAUAUGCCCUGAUCCUGGUGUAGUUUUCCAGGGCCAGGCUUCUCCUUCCCAACUUUAUUUGCUUUAACUCUAAAGUUAAUAUUUGCUUUGGGGCUAAAAAGCCCCAAAUAGCCUCCCAUCAAAGCAGGCCUGCUGAACCUGGUGUGCAGGUGAGGGAUUCCAGCACGUGCUGGUCACUGUCCUCCUGGAAACAGGAGCCUCCAAAGGUCUGCAAGCCAGGCAGAGGCUCUGGAAGAGUUUGAGCUCCAGCCAGACCCAUUUUACGCAGUUUCAGUAACAAGCGUUUACACUGAAUCCCACUUCCAUACAAAUGCUGCUAUUUUGUUUUGCACUGCUACAAGUAGUAACUGGAUUUUACUAAUUAUUAGAUAUUUAACACAGGGGUGGUUUUGCUUAGUAAUUUAUUUAGAGUUUUAAAAUGUAACUUCCAGAAAGAUUGGCGAUGUGUUCUCAAGCCCUUGGGCUGCAUCCAACGUGUUUUCCUUUCUGUUUGAAGGACACCAAGUGCUGGAAUUGAACAGGGAUUUUCUUUCUGUCUUGUGAAAUGACAGUGAGCCUGGCCUUGAACAGAUGGAGUUGUUAAUCCAAGAGUGAGGCAGCAGGGCAGCACUGUUCUAUUGCUUUCUGCUCCUCCUAUUGCUCACUGAUUCCUGUGUUCCUGAUUUUUCUCGGUCCUUCAUCGCUGUGAAGCCUGGCCUGCAGCCCGUGCUGCUCGUGGGGGUGGAUGGUGAAGCUCCCAGCCCCAGCUCUGCAUUCUCGGGAGCAGAAUUCCUGUUUGCUCUCAUUCCUCACUCCCAGCUAUGCCUCUUUGUACAAAUAAAACGCUCAGUAAACAA